GACGAACGCUGGCGGCGUGCUUAACACAUGCAAGUCGAACGGAAAGGCCCUGCUUUUGUGGGGUGCUCGAGUGGCGAACGGGUGAGUAACACGUGAGUAACCUGCCCUUGACUUUGGGAUAACUUCAGGAAACUGGGGCUAAUACCGGAUAGGAGCUCCUGCUGCAUGGUGGGGGUUGGAAAGUUUCGGCGGUUGGGGAUGGACUCGCGGCUUAUCAGCUUGUUGGUGGGGUAGUGGCUUACCAAGGCUUUGACGGGUAGCCGGCCUGAGAGGGUGACCGGCCACAUUGGGACUGAGAUACGGCCCAGACUCCUACGGGCGGCAGCAGUGGGGAAUAUUGCACAAUGGGCGGAAGCCUGAUGCAGCAACGCCGCGUGCGGGAUGGCGGCCUUCGGGUUGUAAACCGCUUUCGCCUGUGACGAAGCGUGAGUGACGGUAAUGGGUAAAGAAGCACCGGCUAACUACGUG
rnacentral:rRNA from 1 species